rnacentral:rRNA from 1 species
CCUACGGGUGGCAGCAGUAGGGAAUUUUCCACAAUGGACGAAAGUCUGAUGGAGCAACGCCGCGUGCAGGAUGAAGGCUCUUGGGUCGUAAACUGCUUUUAUAGGUGACGAAUAUGACGGUAACCUAUGAAUAAGCCUCGGCUAAUUCCGUGCCAGCAGCCGCGGUCAUACGGAAGAGGCAAGCGUUAUCCGGAAUUACUGGGCGUAAAGAGUUGCGUAGGCGGCAUGGUAAGUCAGCAGUGAAAGCGUGGGGCUCAACCCCAUAUACAUUGUUG